rnacentral:lncRNA from 1 species
GGCGUUCGUGGGGGGGCGUCUUGCUGGGCCGGUUGGGGUACUUGCGCAUGCGGCUGGGUUUGAUGAGCUGGGACUGGUAGCUGGUAUUGAGGGCCUUCAGGCCCUGGAAGGGCUUCUGGUCUGGGGUGCCCAGGCCCAGAUCCCCCUGCUGCUGUGGAAACAGGUAGUCGGGGAUCAUGGGAACCUGGAAGCCACCCUUG